AAAACUUUGAGAGAAAAAAGGGGAGGAGAGCAUGAAAAAGAGAAAUAAAAAGAGAGAAGGAAAGAGAGAAAGAAGAAGAGAGAAAAAGGGUUUCAAGAAUCUCUAGGUGCCUAAGGAUUGAUUUGCUUUGUGUUCUUGAACACUACUAAUGAGGUAAAUCAUGGACAAAAGGGUGCUAGGUGAAUCAUGGACAAACAAGCGCCAUGGAAAUGACUAAAAGGAGAGUCACAUGUGAUUAUUGGACAAUAGGGGAGUCAUGAUCUUAUGUUGUAUGUUUAUGUGCUGAUCAUUAGACAACAGGGGAGACAUGAUCUUAUGUUGUAUGCUUAUGUGCUGAUCACUGGACAAUAGAGGAGCCAUGAUCUUAUGUUGGAUGCUUAUACUUAUGAUCUUAUGAUGAAUGAUUAUGCUUAUUUUGCAAAUGAUCCUACGUUUAUGAUUAUGACCUUAUAAUGUACGAUUAUGCUUGUGUCGCAAUUAGUCUCGUGUUUAUGAUUAUGACUUAUGUUGAUAGUGAUUGUUAUAAGAAAAAUAUGUUAAGAAUGUAUGAGAUAUGUCACUUAUGCUUGUAUGUCUUGUUUGUACUUCCUUACUGGGAUUUUAGCUCACCCCCUUACUUUCCUCGUUGCAAGUAAACACUAGGUAGACUUGUUUGGCAUGCAUAGUGAGCUGAGUCAUUUCCAUAAGUAUGUAUGUAUGCUGCGGGAAGCUAUUGAACGAGAAAACGAUCUGGAACGCCAUAGUGCA